rnacentral:sRNA from 1 species
UAUGUUAAAACUAUUUCUUCGGUGACAUUUUGGAGAUGAGACUCGCUUGCAACGCCAUUGUUUUCAUCAUAAGUAUUGUCCUCUACGUAGAAACUCCAGAGAGAUACACAGUUCUCAUCAGCUGUGUGAGCAAAAAGAGAAAGGAACGAUUAGAUUGUGUGUCUUUAACAUUGAUGGGAGAGGAACUAAU